GGACUACUGGGGUAUCUAAUCCUGUUUGCUCCCCUUGCUUUCGCGCCUCAGCGUCAGGGUUAAGCUAGAAAGCCGCUUUCGCCACCGGUGUUCUUCCACAUAUCUACGCAUUUUACCGCUACACGUGGAAUUCCGCUUUCUCCGCCAUCCCUCUGAGAAGUGGAGUUUCAAAUGCAGCCCCAAAGUUGAGCUUUGGAAUUUCACAUCUGACUUUCACUCCCGCCUACGCGCCCUUUACGCCCAAUAAUUCCGAUUAAUGCUUGUACCCUACGUAUUACCGCGGCUGCUGGCAC
rnacentral:rRNA from 1 species